rnacentral:rRNA from 1 species
UACGUAGGGUGCAAGCGUUGUCCGGAAUUAUUGGGCGUAAAGAGCUCGUAGGCGGUUUGUCGCGUCGAAUGUGAAAACCCGGGGCUCAACCCCGGGCCUGCAUUCGAUACGGGCAGACUAGAGUUCGGUAGGGGAGUCUGGAAUUCCUGGUGUGGCGGUGAAAUGCGCAGAUAUCAGGAGGAACACCGGUGGCGAAGGCGACCAUCUGGACGGAUACUGACGCUGAGACGCGAAAGCGUGGGUAGCAAACAGG